UGUUAAGUUUAUGUUCAUCCCUGUGCUUGUGUGUAUGGUUAGAUUAGUUACCGUAUGCACUGUGUAUAGUUUUGUUUUCUAGUUUAAGUUUACGAGUCGUGUCUAGCUGUAGCCUAGCCUUCAUGUCUUUUUUUUCUGUCUGCUUCCCAAUGUUUUUCUUCCCAAUGUUUUGCUUCCUUUAAAGAAAUUCUGCAUUUUGCAUCCGUCUACCUGGAUUCUCCGUUAUGACAUAAUUGGACAUUAUGGAAACAUUUGGUGUUAACAUUCUACAAACAUUGCAUGUAGGACUGAGUGUGCCAAACUUGUUGCCUUCCAAAUGAGAGAGAAACUGUGUGUGUGUUAGUCCAUAAAACAGGAUUUGCUCCUUUAGUCUGGAUUAGCUUGAAAAGCACUCACUCCCCACUAAAAGCACUACAUAUGGCCAAACUACUGUCAGGUUUCUCUGGCUUUGGAGAAGAUUAUCACUUGCGUAAGUGUUUGAGCACUCAGUGCUGUGUGAAGAACUCCAGCUGCAAACAUGCCUCCCUGUUCACCACUGCUGCAUGGACUCACACUGUUCUGCUGCUGGGCGCUGCUUUCAAUUUUUAUAACACAAGCUGAUGCACUGCAGUGUUAUGCCUGUAACAUCCAGGGCCAAAGAUAUGUGGAUGUAGGAUGUUCCAGUCCUGAGGUCAUCACCUGCUCCCAUUUCCACAAAGGCUUUAAGCAGCGUUUCUGCAUUAGAACAGAAAGCAUUGCUUUAGGGAUGGUGCUCACCAGUGGAUGUGCUACAUCCCGUCACUGCCACACAGAGGAACUUCCGGGAGUGAAAAUACACUGCUGCGACUCAGAUCUGUGUAACUGUGCUUCCUGGCAUCACAAGUCGUCAUUAUCAUCACAAAUACUUUACUUAAUGAUGGCUUCCUUUACCACACUGUGGCUACAGCUCUGAAAAGCAAAAAUGCCUAAAAAAGAAAUGCAGGGACAGAGGGCAUAAGUGUCAGAGAAUGAAAGCUUGUGCUAAGAUUUGAGAUGCAUUUUAACCUGGUAUGGGCCCAAAAACUACUACUGUUGCCCCUGGUAGACAGAACAAUCUACCCAAAUACAGGUGCUGUGGAAGGCCUGCAAAAUAUCUUUAGGUCUUUCUGUCCUUUCAUCUGUUGUCUUUACUUUGCACUUGUAAUCUUGUCUUUACUUUGCAUCUUGUUUCUUUUGAGUGUAUCUUUUAAUGCAAUUUAAUUUUGAUAGAUAUAGUUAUGCUCUCAUUUUCCCAUUUAUGCAUUUUUUAAUGUUUAUUUUAGUAAAGUGUUUUAAAACUGGAUGGACACAGUUACAUGUGGGCUUAUCCUUACGUGCACACUGUCCAAUCACAAUCAGAUUACAGUGUCUUAGAGGUGUACAACACAAUGUCAUCUUGAACCAAACAGAACCUGACAACAUAACAGCAUUAGCCCAAAGAAAUCACAGCUUUUUGCAACACUUCAUAAGCAGUGCUUGUGUAUCCAGUUAUGUGGGCCUUAUUUACAGCAGAGUAAAUUCUCAUCCAUCAUCAUUUCAAAUAUCACCUUCCCAUAGUUGGUCCUGUUAUUCCAUAUCAGUCUUGAAGAUUAUAACAUUUAGUUUGUUGUCAUUGUGCAAAUCACUGACACUCUUAGAAGUAAACAAAAAGUUGAAAAAUCUGAGAAACUGCAUUUAUUUCAUGGUUAUAAUAAAAUGUGUUAGAUUGUUUUGCUAAAGUACUAAAUGCUAAGAGAGAUUUUUUAACAAGUAGCUUUACUAAUAACUACUGUUACUAUUACUAUUAAC